GGUGCUAUGGAUAAAUUCAAC
rnacentral:miRNA from 1 species